rnacentral:ribozyme from 12 species
AAAGAUCAAAGAAUCAAGAAAUGGAUCCAAAGAGUUGUUUGCAUCUUUACUGUUUUUAUUUGUAUUGUUGUCUUCUUUCCUAUUUCUCCUACUUC